CCUCGUCUUCCUCUUGUUUUGCAGUCCCAGACGGCGGGUGCAGGACACAGCGACGUGCCUUUGAAGCCGGAGGAGUUCACCAUCGGAGAGUCCACAGUGACCCACACAGAUGGAAAGUUCAGCGCACAACUGUCCAAGCUCACCGCCAUCGGACAGACGCGACACGACGAGCUGUGAUUGGUCAGAAAGUCAGACGUACAGCAACUUCGGUCGAGUGCUGAGCACUGAGGAAAAGGAUUUAACAGCAGCUGGAUCAAAAAAACGAACUGAGAGCUCAAGAAUCAGGAGAAUGUCAUUAAUAUUUUAUCUAACAAAGAUAUUUAUGAUGCAGUUGAUUAAAAAGUCUUGAUUGUAUAAUGGAAAUCUUUGAUAGAUUGAAACGUUGCGCAGUUAUUGCCCAAAGAAAUGCUGAUAUUCUGUCGGUUUUUAAGCUCCGAGUGCGUGUUUCAGCUUAAUGAAGGAUGAAUUUAUGAAUGGGAUAAAACUGAUAUUGCUUUUGCAGUACUUUGUGUUUGAGUACAUGAAUUCCCUUGUAUGCUUUCUACAAUGUAUUUGAAAAUACUGUUGAGUAUCCACAUUUUGUUUUACUGCUCACUGUCCCAGUUAAAACUCUCUUAAAGAUUAAAGAGCUUCCAUAGUUUGGUUUCUGACGAUAUAAGAUUUACACGCAGCACAUCUGCUUGAUCCUGGGGGAGGGCUGUGAAUGUAUGGAGGACUUUGUGCCUGGCGGGGGGUUGUUGAGUAUAGAUAACAUAUUUAGAGUAGCGAGGGGAUUUAUCCAUCUCCUGUAAUCCUGAGAGGAAAGUGAAUAAUCUGCAGUAGCGUCAUCACACACACACACACACACACACACACACAAAAUUACAUUUCCUCUGAUCUGCGCUCUGUUUCUAUUCAUCUGCUCUACAUCGCUGCAAGCCAACAUUUUACCCCCAUAAAUUACCAAUUUGUUCGACUUUGAAUAAUUGUUUUGUUAUUUUUGUGGUUUUCGGCCUGAAGGGAUACUUGUUGAAUAAUGAUAUUAAGAGAAAUGUGUGCAGAAUACACUGAGGAUUAGUGCUUUUUUUGAUAACUCUCAAACAGUCUAAAUGUGAAAUCAUUGAUCUGAGAAUAUAAUAAAAGUACAGAUGCUCCCUCUUGGUUAA